CCCCCCCUACACAAAUACAGAAUUGUAGGGUAGACAAUAACAAUCCAUUUUUUCGAUGGUCUUAGGCGACCCCUGGCAAAUGGUCAAUCGACCCCCAAAGGGAUCGCGAUCCACAGGUUGAGAACCCCUGCCAUAAAGUAAACAAUGUCAAGGAAGCUAAAUUGAACCUAUAAAUUGCCAACUAAAUAACAGUCAGGAACAGAUGAGGUUUCAAAAAUGCAAUACUGCAAUGCUAAAAUUGCAUACCUAUUGUCACGUAACUUAUUAAAAUUAAAACUUUAUAUUGUACCGGAUACACAAAAAGCUAGCUAUUUUUUAGUAUUUAUGGUUUUACUCCAUGGAUAAAAAUCUCUGAUUUAAAAAAAAACAAAACAACUUUUCAAGAUGAAAUCUUUUUAAAAAAUUUGGAUCAAUGUCUGGUGUAGAUGUAAUAUAUCUAGGUGAGUGAUUUAGAGCUAAACAUAGUUGAAUAUUUGUAUUGGUACGAAGGAAAUCAUGACAAAGUUGCAAGUGCUAAUCACAUAAGGCGAAGCCUGAAAGGUCAAACACAAGGAACACGUAUGAAUAUGUCAAAGUCUAUCACCUCACAGUGUAAAGCACAACAUCAAACAGGGUUAACAAAUACCUGAGAAAUAAAAAGAAUUUCUACAACUGCAACAAUUGUAAUAAUUACAUACUGUAUUUUCUUUUGCUUUCAAAUUAUUAAGACGACAACGGCGUAUAUUUAAUAAGAAUAUAAUCUAAAUGUUUAUUUACAGAUUGAUUCUAAAAUGAUUAGUUAUAACAAGAGGUUAGGGUUAACAAGUUUGUAUGUUGUUUUGCUUUGUUUUUUCCCUAAGGAUUUUAAGGGUUAAGUAUAACUUGGAAAUGUUUUGUCUUACAAACGAGAAGUGAGCUUAUACAUUGUUGACAUUGGACAGUGUGACAAGAGAUGUGACAUACAUGACGGUGUAAGAUGGCGAAAUGGAUGAUUCAUAUCAAUGUAAUGCUGAGGGAAAUAACAGAUGAUGUUAAAAACACGAUUAGAAAUGUUAGUGUCAGUGUAUAUGUGAAUCAUCAAAACAAAACAUCAUGGCAUGUAAUGAAAGUAUUGAUGUACGAGUGAAUCAAGGCUAUGAAACAUUGAUAACAGUUGACAAUAGUGAAUAAACCUAUCUUCUAAUUAACUUAGAAAGUGUGUGUGCGUGUGACAUUUAAGAUUCUAGAAACGGCAGCUUUCAAUAUAGAAACCAUAAGAUAUAAUUACAUGUGUGAUAUACAGUUAUGAAUGAGUGUGUGUUGUUUGUAGUGAUCUCUCUAACAGGGGUGGCCUCCACAGACUAAAAGCAUUGAAAAUAUUGUAUCAAAUUUCAAAUAUAGCAGAGCACUAGGGCUCUACGUCUACUAGCCUAGAUCUAAGUCUCUACUAUGACUCAAUGUUUAUUGACAAAUGGGUUAAAUUUAUUUGUUAGACUACUUAUGGUAGAAUACCCUUGUUGUUUUUUUUUAAUUUGAGGCCACUGAAUUCACUUUGCCUAGAGCCUUCAAUUACCUAAGGCCGGCCCUGCAACAAACACAACUAAAUAAGCUUAUGAGCAUCUGGAAAUUAGUGUGUAUCAUUGGUGAAGUGUCUUUGCAGACUUCUCAGCAUGAGUUUAUCAUUCAAGACACAUUACUGAUUCAUUGAUGUUGUGAAUGACAGUAUAGUAUUGUGACAGUGUGAUAUUGUAAAAAUGUAAUUGUGAGUUUCAGUGACAACAGGAAAAAAUUUUAAUUUCUAAUGACAGCACAGGAUGUGAAACUUAGUGUGACAGAAACAUAAUGUUUCCUUAAAAAAAUUUGGGGUAAAUUUGGGCGUAUACCAAAUGGACAGAGCCUGGCUAUAUAACCUGCUGUAACACUUGUGUCAAGAUUUUAACACGUGGGACCUGCUAAUGAGACAGUAUGAAGUACACUUAGAAGAGCACACAUCAACAAUGUGGAUCGGUGACUAAUGACAUAGAAAUACAUCCUUGUAAACACAUCAUACAAACAGAAACAAGUUUUGUAACAUUCCCUAAAUUAAAGAAUGAAACAUCUAAUCAUUAUUUUAUUAAUGAAUUCAUUUUGUAUAGUUAUGUGGUUUUUGUUUUUCAAAUAUAAAACUGUAACAUUACCAAAGAAAUACAAACAAACCAAGGCGAAAUUUGUACAAAGCUUAGAGGCAUUGGUUUUAAGAAUGUACAUAAAAUCAUGUUUAGAGAAGAUCUAAAAAAAACAUAAUCCUAAUGUUAAGGCUAGAAAAACAUGAAUUUCACAGGAAAAAUUCAAAGCACGAUUUUUCACAAUCUCUUUCUAACAAUGCAACUUCUAUAAGGGGGUUCUUAACCUUUGGGGACUUCUUGACCAAAAAUUAACCCAGAAAUCUUAAAAGGAAUAGUGCUAAAUAUUUCUUAAUUUUAAUUUAGACCAAAUGUAUAAUAACUUAGAAACAAAUACAAAAAAAAAGAUCAGUUAGAUUUAGUUACACCCUUAAUGAAAUGGGGUGCAGGCACUCCGAUUAAGAACCCCCUGCAAUAUCGUAUUCGAUAUCAAUCAUAAUAAGUUUAAACAUUUAGAUUAACAUCUAAAAUAUUUAGUUAUAUAUUAGGUACGUAUGUAUCUCCAUAAACACACACAAAAAUCACGGUAUAAUAAAUAACUAAUUCUGCAUCUGAAAUGUAUGAUUUGUUUGUAAAAUCUAUAUACAUCAACAAUAUUUUUUUUUCAUAAUAUACAUUUGCAUACAUUAACAGUUUCAUAUCUCAAGAGUGUAGAGACAAAAACAUAAAAAUGGAACAAAUCAUUACGUCAGUUUGUCGAAUAGUUGGCCUGCAACAUAGGUUUUAAGAUACCAGCCUGUCUGGGUGUAAAUAAAAUAAGUAGAAAGGCUUCAUUCAUUUGUUGUAUUUUGCGCACACACACACAAAUAUCAACAGAUUAUAGUUUGGACAACGAUGAAGCAGGGUUUGUUAAAGAGGACACUUUCAGUAAAAGAAUGUCAGGUCUAACAGGAUGAAGCAAACACAUUAUCAUAAUAUUUUUUUAAGGUUCAAAGUUACAUAGACGUAUAAGCCUCUUUUUACUUGUUUUCAGUCCGGAUUGACACGACCCAUAGCAACGCCACUGCAAAGUAAACACUACACUUAUUAAAGAAAAAAAACAAUCUUUCAUGGCGUAAAGUUGACCAGCUAAAAUGUUGACAUUGUAGAAGCUUCACGACAGUAAAAAAUAAUUUUUAACAUUAAAUUUAGGCAUUUAGGUUGCAACCUAUAUCGUGUUCGAAUGUUUUUAAGUUAUGCAUAGUAAAGAAAAAGGAGAGAAGGCACGUUGCGAUUACACAAAUAUCAGGACGUCGACAGAGAGAGAGGAUAAGAGAAACUGUGGGACUUUUCCAGAAAAAAAAAUCCAACCUGCAUAUUGUGCCAUUAACCUUAUAUUAUUUCAAAAUUAUUAGGAUAAUCCUAAAUAUCAAAAGAGAAUAAAAAGCAUUAUCAUUCAGCCAUAUCUAGCUUUGUGCGUGAAAAUAGAAAAAAAAAAGAGAAUUAUUUCCCUUUAUGUAAAGGUACCCUGCUCCUUGCACACACAUUUAAAUUGAGAAAGAAAGAAAAAUUAUGUUAGCCAUUUUUUUUAAAAGAAGAGGUGGGGGGGAGGGGG